rnacentral:lncRNA from 1 species
GGACUCUCGUCCUGCCCUUCAGUUAUUUCAAGUAGAAGCCUAAGGAAGACCUAGUCUCUGUGCGGAUUUAGACCCUGGCGAGCCUCAAUGCGGAACCAAAGGAUGAGCGAAAUCGGUUGCAGUAGCGGUUUAUUUACACCAAGACACACACCUCUUCACCUUGGCCGGAGGCCACACAGACCUGGGGAAAUGUUUUGCCAACGUACUCGCAAUAGUUCCCAUGGUUUCCUUUGCUCCCAGCGGUUGCGCGGGCUGGGUUUUUGGAGCAAAGGCAACGGAUACUGCUGAGGCUCCUGAGAAUGUCCCGUUUUCGAGGCUGCAGUAGCUCCGGUGUCCGGUUCUGCAGUGCCGAGAGGGAGGCCUCGGGCUCCGGGCGGGGGAAUGUGUUGCAGUUUGUCCAAGAGCCCCAAGCCCAGCAAAGCCGCCCGUUCCCCGCUGGGGCGCAACUCUCACUGGAACUCUUGUUCUCUGACUGGGGAAUGGAAUGGGCUCAGCCAAGGCUCCCGAAACCAGCCCUGCCGCUCCCAGUUGUGGUCGCAUUCUCAAGAGCGGCUGACUGCGCCGUGGACCAUCACUUUCGCUUCUGCCUGCUCUUGCGCCUAUUGCGGCAACUACUCACGCUCCUACGGGACGAGGAGAGGGAGGUGAAUCCGUGGCAGAGGUGAGUGAGAUCAUGGCUGCACCUUCGCUCUAAGGAGCCCACUUGCCUUCAGCGAGUCCGCUUCAUCUUUCAGCCCGCUUCUGACCAUUUGCAUUUCGCUCCUUCUACCUUCACCGCGCCCAUUUUCAUCCUUUUCUGCAAUCUAUCCACGACAGCUCCUUGUUCGCCCCUCUCCUCUCUCACAUUCUCACUCAUCCUUGGGCCCCUUUGUAGGGUGCCCCGGUCUCCCUCCACCCUCUUUCGCCUCUGAUCUCGGAGCAGACACGGCUAAGGGUCACAGACCUACGUAUAGCAUUUAUUUGUUUUGUGUUAUCGUUCGUGAACAUAUUUUUAUUCUCCACUAGACUGAGCUCGUGGAAAGGAGGACCCCUAUUUUAUUCAUUACAGAAUUUGCAGUGCCUGGCACUUAAUAGGGGCUCAAUCUACUGAAAGUGUUGUGUGUUGAGUGAAUGAUCGGUUUGAGAUCCUAACAGGCUAACUAAGUGGAAAUUCCUUGUAGGGAGUUGGAAAGGGUUGAGAUUAAGGGUUUAAAUUGGAAAGGAGAAAUACCUUCCUCUGAGACAAGAUAACUGGAUGAAUGUAGGCAAAGUGAUGUGCUAAACUGCAGAUGUGGCUACCUUCAGGAAGGUCUUAAGUGGUCUCAAUCUUGACCUUGAAGAAUGAGAGGAGAGUGAGAUGAGUUUUCCUCUAAUGAGAGUGAAUAUUGGAGUGGGAAGUAGAUGGUUUGAGAAGGAAAAUAAUUAUAAUUAUUGCUGUGUAAGUACUCAUAUCAAAUGUUUAUUGAAUGUGUCAGGUACUAUACUGAGUGCCUUACAUGCACUACGGUUAAAAAAUGAGAAAUUUUAAAACAUUACAGGUAUUGAGGGGUAGGUUGAAAUUCCAACAGGUGGGAGAUGUCUUGAUGAGUCUUUUUCUUCCACUAGUGGGAUGUAAUAAAGCAUAGUGAUGAGAAGGACAGCCUCUGGAUUGAGACUUUCUGAGUUUGAAGCCUUGCUUUGCUACUUAAUACCUAUGUGACCUUGGUAACCUCUCCAAGCUUCAUUAUUUUUUCACCUGUAAAAGGGGGAUACAAAUAGUACUGACGUUUUUAGGGUUAUUGUAAUGAUGUAGUGCCUUGAACGUAAUAAGCAUUUCACAGGUGUUGGUUAUUAGAGUUUCAUGCCUGGGAGCAGAGGAAGUAAAAACAGUCCUGAGUUAGGUUACAGAUACACAUUUUUUGCCCAUGUGGGAGAGGUGAGUGAAACUACUGCACCUGUCCUCUGAGGAGCGCUCCUGCCUUUGGGAUGGAAAGGUCCUCCCAGUUUGUGUCAAUCAAAAAACUU